AUGAAGCCUAGCGAUUGGCGUAAGGAGAUUGCAGAAUUGGUUCGUCUACAUGUUGAAACAGGGUGGAAGGAUGACGUAGUGGGUACUAAAUCUUACAGGAGGUUUAAUGAUGCCACGGAUGCUGAUGCCACAACGGCCUACGACGAGCUCGAGGAAAUCCUCAAGGGUGAAGAGACACCGCGGGACAAGAUGAGAUUUACGCAGAAUGUAGUUGAGAAGUGCAAGGCGGGUUCGAUCCCCAACUCUUUUGUUCGUGAUGCUUGGCUGCUUGUUGUAAGCUUUCAGGGUCAUGUUGGUGAUAAGACCACGAUGUGGGAGGUGAUCGAAGGCGUGUGGGUGGAGAUGCUCUGCUAUUCUGCCAGUCGAUGCCGCGGGUACUUGCACGCGGAGGCUCUGGGAAACGGUGUGGAGUACCUCUCCUAUGUCUUGGUCCUGUUGGCAUACGCCGGGAUGGAGACAUUUUCAGAAAAGCUUCAGAGGAGGGACGAUGUGUCAUUUGACAGUGAUAAGCCUUACCGUUUAGCACGGAAGAUUUUUCACCCCCAAGGAGUAUGUUGUAUUCAAAGUCCUAACCAUUCGGGCCGACAUUGUCUUUCUCCCAGCACUUUCAGAAACGGAAAUCAUUUGCGAUGA
rnacentral:rRNA from 1 species